CACAGGACAGGGUGGUGGCUAACGGCCACCCGGGGUGACCCGCGGGACAGUGCCACAGAGAACAGACCGCCGCUGCCUUCCAGGUAGCGGUAAGGGUGAAACGGUGGGGUAAGAGCCCACCAGUCCUCGUGGUGACACGAGGAGCUAGGUAAACCCCACCCGGAGCAAGGCCAGACAGCAUGCGCCCGAGGGCUGUCCGCCCGAGCAUGCGGGUAGGUUGCUAGAGACCAUCGGCAACGAUGGCCCGAGAUGGAUGAUCGCCGAUC
rnacentral:misc_RNA from 2 species